UGGUAGACACUGACUUACUUGCCUGGCUGA
rnacentral:piRNA from 1 species